GUACACUCCUGCGGGAGGCAGCAGUGGGGAAUUUUGGACAAUGGGCGAAAGCCUGAUCCAGCAAUGCCGCGUGAGUGAAGAAGGCCUUCGGGUUGUAAAGCUCUUUUGUCAGGGAAGAAACGGUGAGAGCUAAUAUCUUUUGCUAAUGACGGUACCUGAAGAAUAAGCACCGGCUAACUACGUGCCAGCAGCCGCGGUAAUACGUAGGGUGCAAGCGUUAAUCGGAAUUACUGGGCGUAAAGCGUGCGCAGGCGGUUUUGUAAGUCUGAUGUGAAAUCCCCGGGCUCAACCUGGGAAUUGCAUUGGAGACUGCAAGGCUAGAAUCUGGCAGAGGGGGGUAGAAUUCCACGUGUAGCAGUGAAAUGCGUAGAUAUGUGGAGGAACACCGAUGGCGAAGGCAGCCCCCUGGGUCAAGAUUGACGCUCAUGCACGAAAGCGUGGGGAGCAAACAGGAUUAGAUACCCCGGUAGUCCCAUGAU
rnacentral:rRNA from 1 species